rnacentral:rRNA from 1 species
UACGUAGGGUGCAAGCGUUGUCCGGAAUUAUUGGGCGUAAAGAGCUCGUAGGCGGUCUGUCGCGUCGGCUGUGAAAACCCGGAGCUCAACUCCGGGCCUGCAGUCGAUACGGGCAAACUGGAGUACUGCAGGGGAGACUGGAAUUCCUGGUGUAGCGGUGAAAUGCGCAGAUAUCAGGAGGAACACCGGUGGCGAAGGCGGUUCUCUGGGCAUGUCCUGACGGCUGAGGAG